rnacentral:rRNA from 1 species
ACGCUCGACACCUACGGUAGGCAGCAGUGGGGAAUAUUGCACAAUGGGGGAAACCCUGAUGCAGCAACGCCGCGUGAAGGAAGACGGUUUUCGGAUUGUAAACUUCUGUUCUUAGUGAAGAUAGUGACGGUAGCUAAGGAGCAAGCCACGGCUAACUACGUGCCUAGCAGCCGCGGUAAUCUGAGCGGGCUGGCAAGGC